UGAGGCAAGAGAAUUGCUUGAAUCCAGGAGGCAGAGGUUGCAGUGAGCCAAGAUCACGCCACUGCACUCCAGCCUGGGUGACAGAGCAAGACUCUUUUUUU
rnacentral:miRNA from 1 species